CUAUAAAAGGUGCAUCAGUGGGAUGGUAUAUAAUAUUAUUAUAAUAAUGAAGGUCUUUAUUCAAUUGAUUUCAUGAAAAAUGAUAAAAAAAUUUUAACAACUAUAGGAAUAAUUGAAAUAUAUAAAUAUUAAACCCACUGUAAAUGACAGAACUGAUACCCAAAAUUUGAGUUCUGUUUAUUUCAAUAUUUUGAAUUUGUACCGAUUGAAUAGAGGCCAGCCGAGAUAAAGAAAAACAUGAACAUGUGUACCUCGUUUCGCAUUCAAUCUGUAUUCUUAUUGUUUUUGUUUCAUCAUACAUCAGCUCAUAAGUUGAAAUUGACAUUUGACAUGUAAAUUUUCCAUUUUAUUAUUUUAAAUGUGAUGUCUGUUGUAAUUUAUUAUUUUAAAUGUGAAUGAUCGACAAAAUUUUAUAUAUACACUGUGUGUUCAAAGUGUUAUAUCACAUCGUUAGCCGACAACAAUUAACUAAGGCUAAAAGGACCAUUUUAAGGAAUAUUCCUGAGAACAACUGACAUUGAAAACCCCAAAUUUAACCAUCCAAAGACUAAAAAGAAAGACACUUCAACAUGUCGAGAUAAAAAUAGUUUCAACUAUCUACCCGAAAAUACAAAAGACGAAGACGAACCUAGUCCAAAUAAAAAACCACCUCCAAUUGUCCUACCUGGGGUUUUCACCAACUAUGCGAGGAAGGUGAAAGAAAUAAAGUCAGAAGUAGAUGGAAAUUUCUACAUGAAAUAUAGUGUGAACGACACCACUAUCCACAAUUUUACAGCGACAAUAUAAAGGAUCAGGAAAAGAUAAUAAAAUUUCACACGUAUACCCCGAAGCACAUGAAAACCCAUACAUUAACGCUAAGGGGACUGGAACAGGAUAUAGAACUGGAAGAGAUCAAAGACGAUCUAAUCAGUCAGAAAGUACCAGUCAUUCAAAUACUUAAGAUGAAGGCGACCCAAUCCCCUGCAUAUAUGGUGGUGACCGAUAAUUCAGUCACCACCUUGAAAAGACUGCAACACCACAUUAAAGUGGUAAGUUAUACCAAAAUAAGGUGGAAUCGAUACACCACCAAAAAGGAGAUUAUACAGUGCCACAGAUGUCAGUUGUGGGGCCACGCCACCGCCAAUUGCCACAGGGCGGAAAAAUGCCUAAAAUGCGCCGAGUCGCAUUUAACAAUGAACUGUACUGUGCAUUACAUUUGUACUUUACAUUUUUAAUUGCCUCAAUUAUAUCCACCUUAACAUCAGUAAAUACAAGAGAUGCUCUGACUUUCAUGGGUAUGAAACACGCCAUACUGAUACCAUAGCCUUCCCCAAACAUCGUACAGCUAAAUAUGAGUCCUCACCGAGCUUUAUGGGCAUUAAAUUGUACAACCGUUUGCCUAGUAGGUUGAAAUCAAUGAAUGGAAGGUCUUUCAAGCGAGAAGUAAAGUUGCUAUUGAUUAAAGGAUGCUACUAUAGUGUUGGAGAGUUCCUUAGGGACUCCAUUCUUUGAAUCUGUUUUUUUUUUUGUUUUUUUU